GUACAAGCUUGGAGUAGACACCGACAGGCCGGGCUUCCUCCACUCUAUACCUCCACUCUAUCUCUCUCAAUCUAGUAGAAACUAGAAGAUCUAUUUCUACCUUACAUUGAUUGCUAAGCCUAAAAAGAAAUAUUAAUUAGAGAAGAGGUUUUCCUUCGAGGGCACCCCUCAGUCUCUAUGAUAAUUUCUUCAUGUCUUCCAGGGGCCAGGGGAGCCUCGCUUAUAUAGUCCUCCCCUUCUAUGCGUUUUUGGGUCGAUAGCCGAGGUGGUACUAUGUUUUUCUUGAUCCAAUAGGUCGGUGGAAUAUCCCGAGCGAAGGAGUCCUGAAUUGGCUCCAGCAGGGGGGCGGGCGCCCAGGCUUCCAGGGCGGGCGCCCUGGGCCUGGCCCAGCUUCGCCUCCGCUUCGGUCUCGUGGCUUCUGGAGUCUUCUAGAUGAUGUAGAAUUGCGCGGUGCGUUGAUAUCUCUAUGUAAUCCCGACAUGUGGGCCUUUCUUCCUUAUUUCCUGAUAACCCCCUGCAGAAAUAGAUAAACAACAAAACUCGUGGAAUUCUGUCAGAUCAAACCCUAAUUCUAGGUGAUGGUUGCAUAUUGGUCCUUUCUCUUGUUUAUUUGAUAAUUAAAAUUGAUACUUAAGAACCGUCAACAAAUACCCCCAUACUUAGGCUUUUACUCGUCCUCGAGAAAAGGAUGGUUAAGAAAAAUAUCUGGGGUAAACAUUUGAAACAUUCUCUUUACAAUUGUAGGGUGUUAAAAAAUUCCACUGUGUACCAUAGUCAGGGAAGUAUAAGAGUAGAGAUCCUUUCUUCUCAAUCCUGUCACUUGGAGUUUUUUUUUGUAUAUUUUUGAAAGAAAGUUAGCAUACCUUUUGAUCCUCAUCGGUUCUCUCAGAUCACUCAUUAUCUUUUAUAUAUAUAUCUCACUGAGGCUGUUUUAUUUUGCAAAAAUUCUCAAGCAUACUUAUUUUGGAUUUAUUGCCUGAUCAAAACGGGAUCCGAGGAGGGAAAUGUCAUACUCUUAGAUCAAAGACUUUGGAAAUUAAAAACUUUGUCAACUCUUGCUGGCAUAUUGCUUAUUAGAAGGACCAUGGGCUAUCAUUUAUUUUAUUUUAUUUUAUUUUUUUUAUGUGGAUACCGAGGUACCCCUAAUUCUACUGCCGGACACUUGUCCAUUUUUUUCUGCGAGGUUGUCGAGCACUUGCUCCUUUUUAUUUCCUCGAAAUAUCUCUAUUUUUGCAUAGCCCAUGCCUCUAAUGCAAUAAUACUUCGGAAGAGUGAAUCUUACUGAAAUAGUGUCUUGAUCUUAGAAGCAUGAUAAAUCUCUCAACAAGGGUCUAACUCAUUUUGAACAAACUCAAUACAGAGCAGAUAGCUUUUAUAAUCAUAUUUAAUAUUUCAGUUUUAUCAGGCAUAUAAAACACUGAGGAUGGUAGCUAGGAAUUUGAACAUUUUGAAAUAAAUUCUCCAAGCAACAAUGAUAUCAACAAUAAGAAACUUCAUACUCUACCAUCACAUAUUCCAUCUUGACUUAAGUAACACAGGUUUUUUUUUUAAAAAAUGAUUUUAUACUAAUUGCAAGUUUUCAGGAAAUAUCACAGAUUGAGAUUAAUCAUGAUUAGAAAUAUUUUAAUCUUUUUAUUUUAUCAUGUCGGGAACAAUAUUCUGCAUAAUCUAAAAUAUAUAUAUGUGUAGAGUAAAGUGUGCAGAGUGUGUACCUGAAUCGUGGAGUGGUGUAGUCGGAGUGUGUUUAGCAUGUCGAGGGAUCUCCCCCAUACUUGUUUUCUGCUUUCUUGCACAAAAAUAAAGUAGAGACACACAAGACAUAAUAAUAAUACUCUUUAUUGAUCUUGAGGCAUUUAUUACACAAGGAAGAACAAAAUUAUUUUUGGCUAUUCUCUCCCGGAUUAGGAGUAGAAUAUUUUUGGGUGAUUUUGAAGAUGGAAAUGUAUGGAUAUAUGUGGAUGGUACUUCCGGAGUAGAAGUAGCAUGUGUGAGUGAACGUGCAAGUGAAUCUUGAUUUAACCACAUGACAAGCUCCUAAGGGUCUACACAGCUUGACCACGCUCAAUGCUCAUAAGCAGUAAAAAGUAAUUGUGUGGCUCGAAGUCUAGCAAGCAUGUAUAUAUGGCUGUGGUAGGAAUUUAAACUCUCAUCAUACAGGAACUCAUCAUGCCACAUUUUAAAGAUUUCCAAAGAUAAAAUUCUCCAGAAUUCUAGCAUCUCUAGAAACAGAUAAACAGCAGCUCAACCUUCCCAUAUCAAGUUUUCAUCCCACAAGUUUAGGUCUAGAGCAAGCUUUAAAUUAUAACAGUUAUGUCUAAACUUGAGAGAGAACUUAAAAUGUGCAAAUUAGGCAGAGCAACUAUUCAUCAUUUCCAUGCUUGAGUUUUAUUUAGAUACAGAUUAGCAUAGCCACUUUAUUUAUUUAUUAAACACACUAAGCAAAAGACAUAUAUAUAUAAGCAUAAAAUCUUUAUUUGGUUUUUCAUAGUUAUGUAUAUUUAUAUUCUAAAAGAAUAUAAGUAUAGAGAUAGAUAGAUAGAAAUACUUAUCGAGAUAAAUGGGGUGCUCUCCCCCAAGCUGAAUUUUGACGUAAUUUCUCUUGAUGUAGCUAGCAGGUGGCAGAGGUGUAUUUGAAAGUCAGCAGCAUUGUGACAGCGAUUAGAAUAUCCUCCGUCUGCCAGUCUUCUUGAUUCUUAGAUUCCGUGGAGCUCAAAUAGACAACAAAGCUUGUGGAACUAAUUAAGUGUUAGCAUAAAUAUCUAGCCUUUAUCAUAUUGAGACUCCUUAAUAAUUAUUACUCCCUGUUUUUAUAUUUUUAUUUUAUAAAGCAGAAAAAUAUUUUUAUUUUAUUUUUAUGUCACCACAGUGAAUGUACUUAUGGGUUUUAUGCCACUCGUAUCCUCACAUGGGGCUUACUGUUUUUCACAUUUUUACUUUCUGUUUAGAACUUAAUUAACUAAGUGAACUACUUGAAAUAAUUGAAAGGGAAAGGAUAACUACCAAGUUUACCUCUUAGCAAGGCGUUCGGUGUUUAUAAGUCCUCCGAACGGGACUCUCCUCCUUCUCAAUUAUCCUGAGGUUCAUUGGGUGGCGUAGUCGGUACUUCCGGCAGCGCCUCCUCUUCAUGUAUAGUUAUCUUCAUUUUCCACACCUGACUUGGUGCUUCGGUCUCCUCUGGAUAAUUCUGUUUAAACUCAACGUCUUCUGACCUUACAAUUUCUCCUUCGUAGUCUGCCCAUCCGUCCUUGAUGAUUUGCCUCCUCUGGUUGCGGUUGCGUCGUCUUCUUCUUGUCCUGACCUGCUUAGAAUCUUCAACUAUAUAGUUAGAAUCAUUAAAGUAAUGGCGAACCUUCUCAGAGGCGAAAUACACGUGGACUUCUCCGGUUCCAAUGUAGAUGAUAACUUGGAUAGUGUUGAGGAAUGGUCUUCCAAGGAUGAUGGGUGGAUCGUACUCGUCUUCUCCUAUAUCAAUGUUCUGAAAAUCAUCUGGAGCUAAAUAUAUAUUGGUUGUAGGGGCAUGGUUCCAUGCAGGAGCUGAUAAGUGACUGCGGCCAUUAUGUUGACGUCAGGUCCGGUGUCGUAGAGUGUCUUCUAAAAAUAGUAUCUGUUGAUUGUGCAUUCGAUUCUUGGAACACCAGGGUCGUCCUUCUUGAUCAAGAAAGGUGACUUGAGUCGACGAUCUUGACCUCCUUGAGCUGCAGUGACCAUCUUAGCUGACUCGGUCCACAUUUGCUUGUUCCUGUUCCUCCUGUUGGUCCUCUUCCUUGGUUCAUGUUGGGAUUGCUCUGAAGUUUAUGUAGUCUUGUUCUUGAAGGAAAGUCUCCUUCUUCCCCUUGAUGUAGAGACUGAUCUUGGCAGCAUUAGCGUAGAUGACAGCUCUGGUGUUUAGGAAUGGCCUCCCUAAGAUAAUGGGUGCCCUCUCCUCAGUACCAGUCUCUACCACCACGAAGUUUGCUGGAGCGUACAAGGUACCAACU
rnacentral:lncRNA from 1 species